rnacentral:rRNA from 1 species
UACGAAGGGGGCUAGCGUUGCUCGGAAUCACUGGGCGUAAAGGGUGCGUAGGCGGGUCUUUUAAGUCAGGGGUGAAAUCCUGGAGCUCAACUCCAGAACUGCCUUUGAUACUGAGGAUCUUGAGUAUGGGAGAGGUGAGUGGAACUGCGAGUGUAGAGGUGAAAUUCGUAGAUAUUCGCAAGAACACCAGUGGCGAAGGCGGCUCACUGGCCCAUAACUGACGCUGAGGCACGAAAGCGUGGGGAGCAAACAGG